CUUGUACUCCACUCAGAAAAGGGCACAGGUGAGGAUGAACCACAGCACAAAAAAUGGCACCAGGGCAGCAUGAACAACCUCAGCCAAAAGGUUUGUGAGAGCAUCCUGUGGCAAUGCUGUGACACGUCAGCGCUGCAGACAGAAGCGUUCUCUGAGGUUAGGGGUGAUGAAAGGCAGAGUUUGUCCUGCCUGGCAGAGGGAACGAAGUGAGAGCACCAAAAGCUGCUGUCCUGCUCGCUGGUGGCAGGACAAAGCAGGAGCUGGCAGCAGCAGCAGCCUCUGCCGUGUGUGUUACAGAGGUGCACAGUCACGGUGCAUGGCUGCAGCACAGCUGGUUCAGUCACGGUGCCUGGCAGUGCCCGCUGCACAGCUGCAUCAGUCACAGUGCACAGCUGCAGCACAGCUGCAUCAGUCACGGUGCAUGGCUGCAGCACAGCUGGAUCAGUCACGGUGAACGGCUGCAGCACAGCUGGACCAGUCACGGUGCAUGGCUGCAGCACAGCUGCAUCACUCAUGGUGCAUGGCUGCAGCACAGCUGCAUCACUCACGGUGCCUGGCAGUGCCCACUGCACAGCUGCAUCACUCACGGUGCCUGGCAGUGCCCGCUGCACAGCUGCAUCACUCACGGUGCAUGGCUGCAGCACAGCUGGACCAGUCACGGUGCAUGGCUGCAGCACAGCUGCAUCACUCACGGUGCCUGGCAGUGCCCGCUGCAGAGCUGGAUCAGUCACAGUGCACAGCUGCAGCCGCUGCACAGCUGGAUCAGUCACGGUGCCUGGCAGUGUCCACUGCACAGCUGGAUCAGUCACGGUGCAUGGCUGCAGCACAGCUGCAUCAGUCACAGUGCAUGGCUGCAGCCGCUGCACAGCUGCAUCACUCACGGUGCAUGGCUGCAGCACAGCUGGACCAGUCACGGUGCAUGGCUGCAGCACAGCUGGAUCACUCACGGUGCAAGGCUGCAGCACAGCUGCAUCACUCACGGUGCAUGGCUGCAGCACAGCUGCAUCACUCACGGUGCAUGGUGCAGCACAGCUGGACCAGUCACGGUGCCUGGCAGUGUCCGCUGCACAGCUGCAUCACUCACGGUGCAUGGUGCAGCACAGCUCUAACUCAGCUGAAGCAGAGUGUUUCUAUUGAGCAGAUUGGUCACCAGGACCUUUCCAGGUGGGACUGGAGACUCGGGUGAGCUGAAGAGGAGCGGGCUGGCCCCAGCUCCCCUCGCUGCCUGCAGCCGUGCUGGGUGUCUCAGCAGGGCAUUGCCCCCUCUCCCACCCAGCAGCUCUGCCCACCGGCGCUGCGGAGCCCCGUGGCUGCCGCAGGAGUGGGAGCAGAUGCCGGGUAAGUUAUUAAGUGUCACUUCCAAUUCAGCCUGACAAGAAUGAGUUAAUGGAGGAGCCCCGUUACAAUGGCAGACAGGAAAAUAAAAGCCACGCUGAAUCCUCUUUCCUUGUCUCC
rnacentral:lncRNA from 1 species